GACGAACGCUGGCGGCGUGCCUAACACAUGCAAGUGGAGCGACGAACCAGGGCUUGCCCUGGAGCAAAGCCGCGAACGGGUGAGUAACACGUGGGUAACCUGCCCCGAUGACCGGGACAACCCGAGGAAACUCGGGCUAAUACCGGAUAUGCCCCUCGAGCACGAGGUCGAUGGGCCAAGGAAGCUUCGGGCUCCGCUUUCGGAGGGGCCCGCGGCCCAUGAGCUAGUUGGGGAGGUAACGGCUCCACGCGGCAACGAUGGGUAGCUGGUCUGAGAGGACGAUCAGCCACACUGGGACUGAGACACGGCCCAGACUCCUACGGGAGGCAGCAGUGGGGAAUCUUGCGCAAUGCGCGAAAGCGUGACGCAGCAACGCCGCGUGGGGGAAGAAGGCCCUCGGGUUGUAAACCCCUCUCAGGGGGGACGAAGGUAAGGCCGGUGAACAGCCGGUCGGACUGACGGUACCCCCAGAAGAAGCUCCGGCUAACUACGUGCCAGCCGCCGCAGUAA
rnacentral:rRNA from 1 species